rnacentral:rRNA from 1 species
GAUGAACGCUGGCGGCGUGCCUAACACAUGCAAGUCGAACGGAGUUUACUCGCCGAUGAAGCUUCGGCAGAAUCUUGAGUAAACUUAGUGGCGGACGGGUGAGUAACGCGUGGGCAACCUGCCUCAUACUGGGAGAUAACAGUUGGAAACGACUGUUAAUACCGCAUAAGCGCACAGAGUCGCAUGACUCAGUGUGAAAAACUCCGGUGGUAUGAGAUGGGCCCGCGUCAGAUUAGCCAGUUGGCGGGGUAACGGCCCACCAAAGCGACGAUCAGUAGGGGUUCUGAGAGGAAGGUCCCCCACAUUGGUACUGAGACACGGACCAAACUCC